AUUGAACGCUGGCGGCAGGCCUAACACAUGCAAGUCGAGCGGAUGAAGGGAGCUUGCUCCUGGAUUCAGCGGCGGACGGGUGAGUAAUGCCUAGGAAUCUGCCUGGUAGUGGGGGAUAACGUCCGGGAACGGGCGCUAAUACCGCAUACGUCCUGAGGGAGAAAGUGGGGGGUCUUCGGACCUCACGCUAUCAGGUGAGCCUAGGUCGGAUUAGCUAGUCGGUGGGGUAAAGGCCUACCAAGGCGCCGAUCCGUAACUGGUCUGAGAGGAUGAUCAGUCACACUGGAACUGAGACACGGUCCAGACUCCUACGGGAGGCAGCAGUGGGGAAUAUUGGACAAUGGGCGAAAGCCUGAUCCAGCCAUGCCGCGUGUGUGAAGAAGGUCUUCGGAUUGUAAAGCACUUUAAGCUGGGAGGAAGGGCAGUAAGUUAAUACCUUGCUGUUUUGACGUUACCAACAGAAUAAGCACCGGCUAACUUCGUG
rnacentral:rRNA from 1 species